rnacentral:rRNA from 1 species
UACAGAGGGUGCAAGCGUUGUUCGGAAUUAUUGGGCGUAAAGGGCGUGUAGGCGGUUGUCUAAGUCUUCUGUGAAAUCUACGGGCUUAGCCUGUAACGUGCAGAGGAAACUGGGCGACUUGAGUGUCGGAGAGGAUAGGGGAAUACCCGGUGUAGAGGUGAAAUUCGUAGAGAUCGGGUGGAACACCAGUGGCGAAGGCGCCUGUCUGGCUGACAACUGACGCUGAGACUCGAAAGCAUGGGGAGCAAACAGG